CGGCGCCCAACGGACACCCAGCCCUUUCCAGGGCCUUAAAGGGACCGCCAUAUUUCUGAAAUGGAUGCUCCUUAAAGGGAGAUGGCGCCACAGUGAGAUACCACAGGACUUGGGCCUGACCUGAAAGAGAGUGAGAUCUUUCUUCUCUGCAGGUUACCAUGGACUUGGUGUUCUGCCUCACCAGCAGCCUAGAAUACAGGCGCUAAGGGCUGUACAUGGAAACCGGGAACUGUACUGAAUCUCCAUCCCUUUGUCAACAUACAGAUACAGCGUCUAGCAGAGGAAAUGCAUUCCACCAACGUAAAUAACCACAGCAGAUGGCUUAAGAUAUGUAUUUGAUGAUCUCCUACUGUAGCCAACAAUAAAUAGAGUUCUGUUUCUCACAAAGAUUUA